rnacentral:rRNA from 1 species
UACGUAGGGUGCGAGCGUUGUCCGGAAUUAUUGGGCGUAAAGGGCUCGUAGGCGGUCUGUCACGUCGGGAGUGAAAACUCAGGGCUUAACCCUGAGCCUGCUUCCGAUACGGGCAGACUAGAGGUAUGCAGGGGAGAACGGAAUUCCUGGUGUAGCGGUGAAAUGCGCAGAUAUCAGGAGGAACACCGAUGGCGAAGGCAGGUCUCUGGGCCACUACUGACGCUGAGAAGCGAAAGCGUGGGGAGCGAACAGG